GAGUACAGGACAGUUUUUAGCUAGAAUACAAAUAAAUAUAACAAGAAUUUUCUUUAUAUUAGAUUUACAACUAGAUUUCAUUAUUAAUAUAAUUAGAAAAUAAACGCUCCCUGUUAUGACGUCUUUGAGGAGCAUAUCUAGUUGUGGCGACCCUGGUCACGGUACUCUAUACCAAAAGUUUCAGUGAAAAUCUAUUUUAAUUGCUUUUAUUAUAUAAAACGUAGUUUAUUUUCGUUAAUUUCAUUUUCAGUAUAUAAAACUCCUAAUAAAUAAUAUAUUUUUUUUUAUUAUAUAGCGUAUAUUACAAAAUUUAUCAAAUAAAUGUCCUUGUUCUAUUUAAAAAAUAUAGGAUAUUAUUUAAUUAUAAAUAUAUCUUAAAAUACAUAAGGUAUUAUCAAAUUGUAUCACAGCCCAUAAUAUAUAAAUCAUUACAAAUGUUACCUAAAAUGUGAUACAAGUAUUUUAAAAAGUACAAAAUACAAAGCAAUUUUACAUUAUGAAUUUACUGUGAGUAUAAAAAAUUAGCUAUACUUAGACAAUAUUUAGAUAUUUUGAACAGUUGGAUUUAAAAAGUUGGUCAUUGGUUUCAUAUUAUACGCUUCUUGAGAAUCAUCUGCAUAAUCUUUUUGCUGUUUAAGAACACGUUUAUAAAAUUCUUCAGUAAUAUUCGGUGUUGGCGGAUGUAA